rnacentral:rRNA from 1 species
AGAGUUUGAUCCUGGCUCAGGAUGAACGCUAGCGGCAGGCUUAACACAUGCAAGUCGAGGGGCAGCACGUCUUCGGAUGGUGGCGACCGGCGCACGGGUGCGUAACGCGUAUACAAUCUACCUUUUACAGAGAGAUACCCCAGAGAAAUUUGGAAUAAUACCUCAUAAUAUUGUUAAUUGGCAUCAAUUGACAAUUAAAGUUUCGGCGGUAAGAGAUGAGUAUGCGUCCUAUUAGCUAGUUGGUAAGGUAACGGCUUACCAAGGCGACGAUAGGUAGGGGUCCUGAGAGGGAGAUCCCCCACACUGGUACUGAGACACGGACCAGACUCCUACGGGAGGCAGCAGUGAGGAAUAUUGGUCAAUGGGCGAAAGCCUGAACCAGCCAUGCCGCGUGCAGGAAGACUGCCCUAUGGGUUGUAAACUGCUUUUAUACAGGAAGAAACACUCGGACGUGUCCGAGCUUGACGGUACUGUAUGAAUAAGCACCGGCUAACUCCGUGCCAGCAGCCGCGGUAAGACGAAGGAUGCAAGCGUUAUCCGGAUUCAUUGGGUUUAAAGGGUGCGUAGGCGGACUUGUAAGUCAGUGGUGAAAUCUCUUUGCUUAACAAAGAAACUGCCAUUGAUACUGCAGGUCUAGAGUAUAGAUGACGUUGGCGGAAUAUGACAUGUAGUGGUGAAAUACUUAGAUAUGUCAUAGAACACCGAUUGCGAAGGCAGCUAACGAAACUAUAACUGACGCUGAGGCACGAAAGUGCGGGGAUCAAACAGGAUUAGAUACCCUGGUAG